UGAGUGUUGUGCGCGCAUCUUCCUCCUC
rnacentral:piRNA from 3 species